CCGUGCUAGAUGGGGAGUUAGCGGUGCCCUGUAACCUGCAAUCCGCUACAGCAGGGUUGAAUUCCUUGCCGAGGCCUUGGCUUGUAAGGUCUGGCUUACAAAAGUGGCGUUGAGAACUGGGUCCCACGCAACGGAAAUUCAUGAACCCCGUCAGGUCCGGAAGGAAGCAGCGGUAAGUGAACCCUUUCGUGUGCCGUGGAGCAGCCUGGUUUGAGUUAACUAUGUAAGUAACGCUUAUAGGCUAUUGUCAGAGCAAGGUGCACGG
rfam:Clostridium sp. N3C genome assembly, contig: N3C_contig59